rnacentral:tRNA from 1 species
UCCGGAUUAGCUCAGCGGUAGAGCAGUGGACUGUUAAUCCAUGGGUCGUUGGUUCGAAUCCGACAUCCGGAG